rnacentral:rRNA from 1 species
GUUGAAGGAUUUGGAAAAUUCCGCUAAAGAGGGUGAAAGCCCCGUAGACGAAAUGCUGACAACACCUAGGAGGAUCCUGAGUACGGCGGAACACGAGAAAUUCCGUCGGAAUCCGCGGGGACCAUCCCGCAAGGCUAAAUACUCCCUAGUGACCGAUAGUGAACCAGUACCGUGAGGGAAAGGUGAAAAGCACCCCGGAAGGGGAGUGAAAUAGAUCCUGAAACCGUGUGCCUACAACAAGUCAAAGCUCGUUAAUGAGUGAUGGCGUGCCUUUUGUAGAAUGAACCGGCGAGUUACGAUUGCAUGCGAGGUUAAGUCGAAGAGACGGAGCCGCAGCGAAAGCGAGUCUGAAUAGGGCGAAUGAGUAUGUAGUCGUAGACCCGAAACCAUGUGAUCUACCCAUGUCCAGGUUGAAGGUGCGGUAAAACGCACUGGAGGACCGAACCCACGUACGUUGAAAAGUGCGGGGAUGAGGUGUGGGUAGCGGAGAAAUUCCAAACGAACUUGGAGAUAGCUGGUUCUCUCCGAAAUAGCUUUAGGGCUAGCCUCGGAAUUGAGAAUGAUGGAGGUAGAGCACUGUUUGGACUAGGGGCCCAUCUCGGGUUACCGAAUUCAGAUAAACUCCGAAUGCCAUUCAUUUAUAUCCGGGAGUCAGACUGCGAGUGAUAAGAUCCGUAGUCGAAAGGGAAACAGCCCAGACCACCAGCUAAGGUCCCAAAAUAUAUGUUAAGUGGAAAAGGAUGUGGGGUUGCACAGACAACUAGGAUGUUGGCUUAGAAGCAGCCACCAUUUAAAGAGUGCGUAAUAGCUCACUAGUCGAGUGACCCUGCGCCGAAAAUGUACCGGGGCUAAACAUAUUACCGAAGCUGUGGACUACACCAUUAGGUGUAGUGGUAGGAGAGCGUUCUAAGGGCGUUGAAGGUCGAUCGUGAGGACGGCUGGAGCGCUUAGAAGUGAGAAUGCCGGUAUGAGUAGCGAAAGACAGGUGAGAAUCCUGUCCACCGUAUGACUAAGGUUUCCUGGGGAAGGCUCGUCCGCCC